AGUAUUCAGGAAGAGCAUCAGUAGACAGAGGCCGAAGAAAGCUGUCGCAUCAGUUGGUGACUGGUUUGCGGCCCUGCUGCUCCUUGGAGCCUUUCUACAGCGCCGUGAGGCCCGGCUUCAGGAUUCAGCAGAACAUGGCAGCAGAAGGUUUCUGGGGUCCGUCAGGCUGACAGUGUGCCUCCGAUCAUCACGCCACUUGCUGAAGAUUCUGUCAGGCUCCACAGGACAGGGGACAGUUUAGGGUCCCCAGGAUCUUCUGAGGCGUUUGCUGUUUGGGCUCUAGACUCAUUAUAAAUUGCACCCCCCCCCCAAAGGAUAUUAACCAGUAAAUAAUCAAGCAAAAGCAA